AUAAGUAAUGUGAAUUGCAGAAUUCAGUGAAUCAUCGAAUCUUUGAACGCACCUUGCGCUCCUUGGUAUUCCGAGGAGCAUGCCUGUUUGAGUGUCAUGAAAUUCUCAACCCACCCAGCUUUGUUGUUGCGGUGGGCUUGGACUUGGAGGCUUGCGGGCNCCUUUGGAGUCGGCUCCUCUCUAAAUGCAUUAGCUGGACCCGUUUGCGGACCGGUGCUCGGUGUGAUAAUUGUCUACGCCGUCUCCGAGAAGCACUUGAGUGGAUCGGCUUCAAACCGUCUUCGGACAAUCAUUGACAUUUUGACCUCAAAUCAGGUAGGACUACCCGCUGAACUUAAGCAUAUCAAUAAGCGGAGGAAAAGAAACUAACAAGGAUUCCCCUAGUAACUGCGAGUGAAGCGGGAAAAGCUCAAAUUUAAAAUCUGGCGGUCUUGAUCGUCCGAGUUGUAUUCUGGAGAAGUGCUUUCCGCGCUGGACCGUGUAUAAGUCUCUUGGAACAGAGCGUCAUAGAGGGUGAGAAUCCCGUCUUUAACACGGACUACCAGUGCUUUGUGAUGCGCUCUCAAAGAGUCGAGUUGUUUGGGAAUGCAGCUCAAAAUGGGUGGUAAAUUCCAUCUAAAGCUAAAUAUUGGCGAGAGACCGAUAGCGAACAAGUACCGUGAGGGAAAGAUGAAAAGCACUUUGGAAAGAGAGUUAAACAGUACGUGAAAUUGUUGAAAGGGAAACGCUUGAAGUCAGUCGCGUCGUCCGGGACUCAGCCUUGCCUUUCGCUUGGUGUAUUUUCCGGUUGACGGGCCAGCAUCGAUUUUGACCGCCGGACAAAGGCUAGCGGAAUGUGGCACCUCCGGGUGUGUUAUAGCCGCUGGUCAUAUACGGUGGUUGGGAUCGAGGACCGCAGCUUCGGCUUAGGAUGCUGGCGUAAUGGCUUUAAACGACCNGUCUUGAAACACGGACCAAGGAGUCUAACAUGCCCGCGAGUGUUUGGGUGGAAAACCCGAGCGCGUAAUGAAAGUGAAAGUUGAGACCUCUGUCGCGGAGGGCAUCGACGCCCGGACCUGAUCUUCGGUGACGGAUCUGCGGUAGAGCGUGUAUGUUGGGACCCGAAAGAUGGUGAACUAUGCCUGAAUAGGGUGAAGCCAGAGGAAACUCUGGUGGAGGCUCGUAGCGAUUCUGACGUGCAAAUCGAUCGUCAAAUUUGGGUAUAGGGGCGAAAGACUAAUCGAACCAUCUAGUAGCUG
rnacentral:rRNA from 1 species